ensembl:lncRNA
UGAUAUUUCAUACGUUGACUCAUCCCAGGAUCAAACAGAGGUAAAUAGGUUGAUAUUUCAUACGUUGACUCAUCCCAGGAUCAAACAGAGGUAAAUAGAUUGAUAUUUCAUACGUUGACUCAUCCCGGGAUCAAACAGAGUUAAAUAGGUUGAUAUUUCAUACGUUGACUCAUCCCGGGAUCAAACAAAGUUAAAUAGGUUGAUAUUUCAUACGUUGACUCAUCCCGGGUUCACACAGAGUUUGUCGGGGCCUCGGGACUCUCUAAUUUGCGUCACGCUGAGGUAGAAACACUAGGCUGCCGACCAAGCCAAAACCAGGGAGAAUUCAUGGAACCCAUCCAGAAGUGCCUUGCAGACAGCAUUGUGGAAAGGAGCAAUCCGUAAUCAAUCAGACGGUGUGAACGUAGUUUCACCAAUCAACGUCAGAAUACAUGACCCUCCCUCAGGACAUAGGACGGCAUGUGUGUUCAAUUAUUCACUCUCUAUGUGAAAGGAAACAGUGUGCUUUUCGCUAUUGAAUGCAAACUAGGUCCAGACAAAGAACUUCUUAACUAAAUCAAGGAUGUAGUCUUCAUGAAAUGGAUUAUUACCCAGUAUAGCAGACCAUUGCAGAGAUGGAGAAUGCAUUAGGUUAGACAGAGACUAGAAAAUACCGAUUUCUAAUCUCGAUUCCAUCCACAACGUAGUAGAAGCAAUUUCUAUGCAACGUACAAACUCUGAACAGUCAGUCGUUCGACCGUUAAAAUUUCAAGUGGCUCAGGACAAGCCAAUGUGAUAGACAGAAUAACUAAGUCCCAG